GCGGGCAGCCUCCUUGGUGCAGUGGUUCUUAACAGUUCAACAGUUCUCUAGCAUAAUUGUGAAAUGUUUAGGACCACUUGACCAGGAAGGCCCGGG
rnacentral:pre_miRNA from 2 species